rnacentral:rRNA from 1 species
AUUGAACGCUGGCGGAAUGCUUUACACAUGCAAGUCGAACGGCAGCACGGGGCAACCUGGUGGCGAGUGGCGAACGGGUGAGUAAUACAUCGGAACGUGCCCAAUCGUGGGGGAUAACGUAGCGAAAGUUACGCUAAUACCGCAUACGAUCUACGGAUGAAAGCGGGGGAUCGCAAGACCUCGCGCGAAUGGAGCGGCCGAUGUCAGAUUAGGUAGUUGGUAGGGUAAAGGCUCACCAAGCCGACGAUCUGUAGCUGGUCUGAGAGGACGACCAGCCACACUGGGACUGAGACACGGCCCAGACUCCUACGGGAGGCAGCAGUGGGGAAUUUUGGACAAUGGGCGCAAGCCUGAUCCAGCCAUUCCGCGUGCAGGAUGAAGGCCUUCGGUUGUAAACUGCUUUUGUACGGUAACGAAACGGUUACUCUCUAAUACAGGGGCGUAAGUGACGGUACCGUAACGAAUAAAGCACCGGCUAACUACGUGCCAGCAGCCGCCGGUAAGU